rnacentral:rRNA from 2 species
GGCCGACGCUGCGCGUGCCUAAUACAUGCAAGUCGAACGAACUCUGGUAUUGAUUGGUGCUUGCAUCAUGAUUUACAUUUGAGUGAGUGGCGAACUGGUGAGUAACACGUGGGAAACCUGCCCAGAAGCGGGGGAUAACACCUGGAAACAGAUGCUAAUACCGCAUAACAACUUGGACCGCAUGGUCCGAGUUUGAAAGAUGGCUUCGGCUAUCACUUUUGGAUGGUCCCGCGGCGUAUUAGCUAGAUGGUGGGGUAACGGCUCACCAUGGCAAUGAUACGUAGCCGACCUGAGAGGGUAAUCGGCCACAUUGGGACUGAGACACGGCCCAAACUCCUACGGGAGGCAGCAGUAGGGAAUCUUCCACAAUGGACGAAAGUCUGAUGGAGCAACGCCGCGUGAGUGAAGAAGGGUUUCGGCUCGUAAAACUCUGUUGUUAAAGAAGAACAUAUCUGAGAGUAACUGUUCAGGUAUUGACGGUAUUUAACCAGAAAGCCACGGCUAACUACGUGCCAGCAGCCGCGGUAAUACGUAGGUGGCAAGCGUUGUCCGGAUUUAUUGGGCGUAAAGCGAGCGCAGGCGGUUUUUUAAGUCUGAUGUGAAAGCCUUCGGCUCAACCGAAGAAGUGCAUCGGAAACUGGGAAACUUGAGUGCAGAAGAGGACAGUGGAACUCCAUGUGUAGCGGUGAAAUGCGUAGAUAUAUGGAAGAACACCAGUGGCGAAGGCGGCUGUCUGGUCUGUAACUGACGCUGAGGCUCGAAAGUAUGGGUAGCAAACAGGAUUACAUACCCUGCCAGUCCAUACCGUAAACGAUGAAUGCUAACUGUUGGAGGGUUGCCGCCCUUCACUGCUGCAGCUAACGCAUUAAGUCAUGCCGCCUCGGAGAGUACGCCCGCACAGGCUUGAAACUCCCACAUAGUUGAAUGUUUGACCGGGGGCCCGCACAAGCGGUGGAGCAUGUGGUUUAAUUCGAAGCUACGCGAAGAACCUUACCAGGUCUUGACAUACUAUGCAAAUCUAAGAGAUUAGACGUUCCCUUCGGGGACAUGGAUACAGGUGGUGCAUGGUUGUCGUCAGCUCGUGUCGUGAGAUGUUGGGUUAAGUCCCGCAACGAGCGCAACCCUUAUUAUCAGUUGCCAGCAUUAAGUUGGGCACUCUGGUGAGACUGCCGGUGACAAACCGGAGGAAGGUGGGGAUGACGUCAAAUCAUCAUGCCCCUUAUGACCUGGGCUACACACGUGCUACAAUGGAUGGUACAACGAGUUGCGAACUCGCGAGAGUAAGCUAAUCUCUUAAAGCCAUUCUCAGUUCGGAUUGUAGGCUGCAACUCGCCUACAUGAAGUCGGAAUCGCUAGUAAUCGCGGAUCAGCAUGCCGCGGUGAAUACGUUCCCGGGCCUUGUACACACCGCCCGUCACACCAUGAGAGUUUGUAACACCCAAAGUCGGUGGGGUAACCUUUUAGGAACCAGCCGCCUAAGGGGACAGAUAUAGGGU